rnacentral:lncRNA from 1 species
AUGCCCCCCCACUUGCACACACACCACACAUGCUCUACACAGGCACACACGCCCCCCACUCACACCACACACGCUGCACACAGGCACACAUGCCCCAAACUCACACACACACACCACACAUGCCCCACACAGGCACACACGCCCCCCACUCACACACAUCACACAUGCUCCACACAGGCACACACACACCAUACACACACACCACACACACAACACACGCUCCACACAGGCACACAUGCCCCACACUCACACACACACCACACAUGCUCCACACAGGCACACAAGCCCCCCACUCACACACACCACACACGCUCCACACAGGCACACACACACCAUACACACACACCACACACACCACACACGCUCCACACAGGCACACAUGCCCCACACUCACACACACACCACACAUGCUCCACACAGAAACACAAGCCCCCCACUCACACACACCACACACGCUCCACACAGGCACACAUGCCCCACACUCACAUACACACACCACACACGCUCCACACAGGCACACAUGCCCCACACUCACAUACACACACCACACACGCUCUACACAUGUGCACACGCCCCACUCACACAUGCUCUACACAUGUACAUAUGCCCCACCACACACACCAUACACAUGUACACAUGCCCUAUCCUCACACACACACACUACUACAUGUACACAUGCCCCGUUCUCACACACACACCACACACUCUACACAUGUACACACACCCCCAUCCUCACAAACGCCACACACAAUCACAUACACCACACACUCACACAUACCCCAGAGGAACUCAGUCACACACCCCACACACACUCACGAGCCUCACUAUCACACACACCACAUACACUCAUACACACAUACCAUACACACUCUACACAUGUACACACAUCUUAAUCUCACACACAUACCACACACAGAGCCUCACAAUCACACACACCAUACAUGCACACACACCCCACACACACUCACAGACUCUCACAGUCAUAUAUACCAUACACUCCACACACACUCUACACAUAUACAAACACACCACUCACAUACUCCACACCCACAGACUCUCAUAAUCACACACACCACACAUACACUCACACACACACCCCACUCACACACCACAUUCUCAUAUACACACCACACACAGAUCCUCACAAUCACACACAACACACAUACACUCAUACAUACACACCCCUCUUACACACCACAUGCACCCAGUCACACAUACCACACACACUCACGGACUCUCACAAUCAUAUAUACACUCACGAGCCUCACUAUCACACACACCACAUACACUCAUACACACAUACCAUACACACUCUACACAUGUACACACAUCUUAAUCUCACACACAUACCACACACAGAGCCUCACAAUCACACACACCAUACAUGCACACACACCCCACACACACUCACAGACUCUCACAGUCAUAUAUACCAUACACUCCACACACACUCUACACAUAUACAAACACACCACUCACAUACUCCACACCCACAGACUCUCAUAA